UCCCCAGUGGCUCAUUGGUAAAGAAUCUGCCUGUAAUGCAGGAGACAGGAGUUCAACCCCUGGUUGGGGAA
rnacentral:tRNA from 1 species